GGAAUUUUGGACAAUGGGCGAAAGCCUGAUCCAGCAAUGCCGCGUGCAGGAAGAAGGCCUUCGGGUUGUAAACUGCUUUUGUACGGAACGAAAAGGUCCUUUCUAAUAAAGAGGGCCUAUGACGGUACCGUAAGAAUAAGCACCGGCUAACUACGUGCCAGCAGCCGCGGUAAUACGUAGGGUGCGAGCGUUAAUCGGAAUUACUGGGCGUAAAGCGUGCGCAGGCGGUUCUAUAAGACAGAUGUGAAAUCCCCGGGCUCAACCUGGGAAUGGCAUUUGUGACUGUAGAGCUAGAGUACGGUAGAGGGGGAUGGAAUUCCGCGUGUAGCAGUGAAAUGCGUAGAUAUGCGGAGGAACACCGAUGGCGAAGGCAAUCCCCUGGACCUGUACUGACGCUCAUGCACGAAAGCGUGGGGAGCAAACA
rnacentral:rRNA from 1 species